CACUUUACUCAAUGCUACUUGACCGUUAUUUCCGUUUAUAGUUCGAAUAAUAUAUAAUAUAUUUCUUUUGAACAUGCCAAACAGGGAAAGAAACUAACCUAUUUUUAGAAAAACGAUUGGUACGUCUGCAUAUGCUAGACCUGCCUCAAAGUAAAUUUGUUGAGCUUUUCUCUGUUGGUGAGAGUCAAUUACAAAAGAUUAGACUAAAAGAUCGUUAUACUUGCCCAAAAGAAUUAGACUAAAAGAUCUUACGCUUCUUCUUGAUUUCGGUGGUAUUCCCUAUCACAACCACUUUCAGUAGAGGAACUUCCUCUCCUUUUCCCAGAUCUUCAUAUAGUUUCAGCCAUUUGGUUCCAAGAUCUUCAUAAAGAAGCUUACUACUCAGUCCUGACCAAACCGCCUCUGAGUUCUUCUUAGCGAGAACUGCAUCACAGAUCUGUCUAUCCAGGGCCUGGAGUAAGGCUUGAGUUUAUGUUAUAGUAUUGUUGUGGUAUCGAUUAGAUAACAGCUUGAGCAACUUGUCUCCGGAGAGU